GACGAACGCUGGCGGCGUGCUUAACACAUGCAAGUCGAGCGGGGAUUAUCGGGAGCUUGCUUCUGGUAAUUCUAGCGGCGGACGGGUGAGUAACGCGUGAGCAACCUACCCCAGAGCGGGGAAUAACACGGUGAAAGUCGUGCUAAUACCGCAUAAGACCCCGGUUCCACAUGGAACUGAGGUAAAAGGAGCAAUCCACUCUGGGCUGGGCUCGCGUCUGAUUAGCUAGUUGGUAAGGUAACGGCUUACCAAGGCAACGAUCAGUAGCCGGCCUGAGAGGGCGAUCGGCCACACUGGAACUGAGAGACGGUCCAGACUCCUACGGGAGGCAGCAGUGGGGAAUAUUGGGCAAUGGGGGAAACCCUGACCCAGCAACGCCGCGUGAGGGAAGAAGGCUUUCGGGUCGUAAACCUCUGUCCCAUGUGAAGAGGAGAAGACGGUAGCAUGGGAGGAAGCCCCGGCUAACUACGUGCCAGCAGCCGCCGUAAGAC
rnacentral:rRNA from 1 species